rnacentral:lncRNA from 1 species
AAUAUUAUGAUUAACAUCCCUUACACAAUAACCAAAACGUAUUAAACAUAUGAAAGAAUAAACUAACUAAAGUAAAUACUAGAAAUGAAUACUAUAAGGAAAACUAUAAAAUCUUUAGGCAUCUACCCGCCGUCUUCCUGUGGAACGGGUUCGGGAACCAAGUCCUCCUUAUCUGAAAUAGUUAAGUAAGGAAUGAGGUACACUAGCGCAGUAAAGAUGUCACACUAUCUCACUGUCACAGAAGUAAAGGUUGGUAGAAAACCAAAACGACCAAUGG